rnacentral:rRNA from 1 species
GCUGGAGAACUGAGGGGGGCUGCUCCUAGUACGAGAGGACCGGAGUGGACGCAUCACUGGUGUUCGGGUUGUCAUGCCAAUGGCACUGCCCGGUAGCUAAAUGCGGAAGAGAUAAGUGCUGAAAGCAUCUAAGCACGAAACUUGCCCCGAGAUGAGUUCUCCCUGACUCCUUGAGAGUCCUGAAGGAACGUUGAAGACGACGACGUUGAUAGGCCGGGUGUGUAAGCGCAGCGAUGCGUUGAGCUAACCGGUACUAAUGAACCGUGAGGCUUAACCUUACAACGCCGAAGGUGUUU